AUUGAACGCUGGCGGCAUGCCUUACACAUGCAAGUCGAACGGCAGCACGGGUGCUUGCACCUGGUGGCGAGUGGCGAACGGGUGAGUAAUACAUCGGAACAUGUCCCGCAGUGGGGGAUAGCCCGGCGAAAGCCGGAGUCAUACCGCAGACGAGCUACGGAUGAAAGUGGGGGACCUUCGGGCCUCGCGAUACAGGGUUGGCUGGUGGUGUAUUAGCUAGGUGGGGGGGUAAAGGACUACCAAGGCGACGAGAAGAAGCGGGGCCGAGAGGACGGCCAGAACCACUGGGACUGGGCCGCGGCCCAGCCUCCUACGGGAGGCGGCAGUGGGGUAUGUUGGACUAUGGGCGGAAGCCUGAUCCAGCAAUGCCACGUGUGUGAAGAAAGCCUUCGGGUUGUGAAGCACUUUUGUCCGGAAAGAAAACAUUGGUCCUAAGACGGUCGGGGGAUGACGGUACCGGAAGAAUAAGCCCCGGCUAACUACGUG
rnacentral:rRNA from 1 species